UCCCACCUAUAGUGUGUGAGUAGAUUCACUCUGAUGGCCUCUGCCUGGGCUGGCUGAGCUGUGCUUGUUGGAACAUGCCUAGACUUGUACUGACUCGCCUGGCUGAGGAAAGAGAGAGCCUUGAGCCCUGCCCUCAACAGUUUCACCAUGCCCUGCUUGAAUUGACCCUCAGGCAAACAAACAAAACCAGCAGAGUGGCUCAACACUGGCAGUUGACUGUCCUGGUGGACAUUCAGAGUGGACGGACACACUGGACAGAACCAGAACAGGACCUUGGAUCUUCAGCUGUACCCAGUCUAAAAUCUGUCCUCAAUUCUAACACUACUUUACUGCUCUUGGGGAUUCCCCUUCACAGUGAAACCUCCUCUUCAUCAGCCGAGACAGCAGGCAUCCUCCACUAACCUACCAGCUGCCACAGAGGAAACACAACGUUCAUCAAGGUGGGAAGCAGGCAGACUUGGGAGGACUACAACACUAUUCACCCUCGACGCGGAAACCUAUUGAACUGACCAUUCUCUGACAACAUCACCAGGUCGGACCUGAUAGUGGCCCGUGUGUGUGUGUGUGUGUGUGUGUGUGUGUGUGUGUGUGUGUGUGUGUGUGUGUGUGUGUGUGUGUGUGUGUGUGUGUGUGUGUGUGUGUGUGUGUGUGUGUGUGUGUGUGUGUGUGUGUGUGUGUGUUAGAUUCCCUGUUGGAAACAUAGCAGGGAGAAACUGUACCAACCAGUGAUGAUGAAGAGGCCAGUAACUCAGGAUCUGCUGGAUGGAUGUGGCUGCUGGGAGUGUUUCUCUGGCAGUGUCUUAGCUGGUUGUUGUGAGGGAGAGAACGAAGCAAUCAGCAAGUAUACUGCCGCAGAAACUCUUCGCACUACGAGCCCAGGCCCCUGGAAUCAGCAAGUAGGCCAUUGGCCCUGGAAUCAGCAAGUAGGCCAUUGGCCCCCUGGAAUCAGCAAGUAGGCCAUUGGCCCCUGGAAUCAGCAAGUAGGCCAUUGGCCCCUGGAAUCAGCAAGUAGGCCAUUGGCCCCUGACUCUCAGAUGUCAUUCCCCCAGAGCGACAGAAGGAAUGAGGAAGAGAAGAGCACUAUUUUUAGUAUGAUUAUUACCACUGGACUCAUGUCGGAUGAUAGACUGAUGAUGCGUUUGGGAUAUGGUAACGUUGUGUGUAUAACCUGAGUAUAACCUGAGUGCGUGGUAUUCUGUUUUAAACGAAUGCAAUCCUCUAGCGCCAUCUUGUGUCUCAAAUGUUAAGUUGAGCCAAAUUGUGCAUACAUCAACACACCGAUAAUGUGUUGAUGUAUAAUGAAGUUAUUACAGUUAUUACCGGUUUGUAUCUCUUAAAAUAUAUAUUUGCAAUGCUUUUUUGCAAUCACUUGCUCUGGGUUAUUGAAAAUAAACAGAAAAUAUUGAAAAAAGAA